CUGUCCUUCCGCUUCCAAAUGUUGCAUCAGGUCAGUUUAACUGUUUUGUUUGGUAAUGUUACAGGAUUCAUAGGUCUUUUUCAAUGUCUUUCACAGACAGGAUAAAAAAGCACCUGUCGCUGGUGCACACCUGGGGGCUCUGUCACACCUGGGGGCUCUGUCACAGCAGAUCUGCUGAAAAGCUAUGCUGCUAAUGAACUACAAAAUGAGGAUUUUAUUGGCGCCAACGAUGACCUCUCCUAUUGCAUGGAAUGUGUGGUGGAAUACCACAGAGCCAGAGAUGUCGUUCCACAGCUUUACAAGUCUCUGUGGACCUUGGAAACAUUACGGCUUAUUGCACAGUUGGAAAAUGCAAUGCGGGAAGAGAUUGAGGAUCUUCUAGUUGAAGAAGAUGGAGAGAAACAAUUCUAUGGCUACAGUGACUGCAGUUUUGAGAGAAAAGGUCCGGGUACCAUUAUUGGAGAUCCUCAAGUUUCCAUACUUGCUUGUUGACAAACGUGUUGAUGAAAGCUCAAACCCCUUUUGGCCUGCUCUUCACUGCUUCAUGACCAUCCUCGAUCGCUUGGGUUCCAAAGUAUGGGGGCAGCUCAUUGAUCCCAUUCGGGCAUUUCAGACUAUCAUAGGGAGCCAAAGUUACAACAAGAUUGAAAACAUCAGGAAAAACUGUUGGAGGUAGGUAAUGGUAGCUUGUAAGUAUAAAUGGGAACUUUAUUUUUUUUAUUCCAGCAGUGCUUUCUACAGUCCAUGAACAAAAGGACAUCUUGGUACACCUAGAUCUAAGGCUAAGAGUUUAGAAGUUUUGUGUGUGUUUUUCUUUUGAUUUAUUAUAGAUUAGUCCUUUGUGUAUGCUCCCUGCCUCUAGGACGUUGGACAGUGUAUAUACCUCCAAAGGACAUUGGUCAAUAUGUACCCCCCUUAGUGGCUAUAACACCCAUACUAUAAGGUCAAUGUAGCUGAGCGUCCUUUGGAGGUAGAACAUCUUUCUUUAGUUCUACUUGAUGCAGUCUUUAGGCUUGGGUUCACACCUGUGCGA